UUUUGGGAGAUGAUUCGAAAAAAAUAGUGCAAAUCGGUGUAAACCUCAAAUCUAAUUUGAGGGACAAAAUGAUCGAGUAAAUAUGAGCGAACGCUGACAUCGUCGUCUGGACAACUUCUGAUAUGCCUGGCAUCCCUAUCGAGGUGAUUAUUCAUAAACUGAAUGUGGAUCUGAAUUUUAGGUCGAUUCAGCAGAAGAAAAAAAGUUUCGCUCCAAAGAGGCAAA
rnacentral:lncRNA from 1 species